ensembl:snoRNA LOC120095416 small nucleolar RNA SNORA44
UAAAGAGUUUCCUUAGCCAUGGGAUCUCCAACUGCAUGCCAGAGUAACGGAGAGACUUUGACAGCCCAGGUCAUCAUAGCAGUUGCCACUCAGCUCUCCUAUAUGU